AUUGAACGCUGGCGGCAGGCCUAACACAUGCAAGUCGAACGGCUGCAGGGUAAGUGCUUGUGGUUACGGCGGGCGACGGGCGAAUGGUGCCUAGAAACAUGCGAGGCUGCGGGUGAUAAGGUGAGAACGCGGGCACUCAUACGGCAUUACCCCAGACGGCGUACGUGGGAAAUCUUCGGAUCUCCCGCUCUCACAUGAGCCGAGGUCGGAUUAGCUAGUUGGUGGGGUAAAGGCCUACCAAGGCGACGAUCCGUAGCUGGUCUGAGAGGAUGAUCAGCCACACUGGAACUGAGACACGGUCCAGACUCCUACGGGAGGCAGCAGUGGGGAAUAUUGGACAAUGGGCGAAAGCCUGAUCCAGCCAUGCCGCGUGUGUGAAGAAGGUCUUCGGGUUGUAAAGCACUUUAGGUGGGAAGGAAGAGCAGCAAGUUAAUACCUCGCUGUUCUGACGGUACCAACAGAAUAAGCACCGGCUAACUUCGUG
rnacentral:rRNA from 1 species